rnacentral:rRNA from 1 species
UAGAGUUUGAUCCUGGCUCAGGAUGAACGCUAGCUACAGGCUUAACACAUGCAAGUCGAGGGGCAGCGGGAUUGAAGCUUGCUUCAAUUGCCGGCGACCGGCGCACGGGUGAGUAACGCGUAUCCAACCUUCCGUACACUCAGGGAUAGCCUUUCGAAAGAAAGAUUAAUACCUGAUGGUAUGAUGAGAUUGCAUGAUAGCAUCAUUAAAGAUUUAUCGGUGUACGAUGGGGAUGCGUUCCAUUAGGUAGUAGGCGGGGUAACGGCCCACCUAGCCAACGAUGGAUAGGGGUUCUGAGAGGAAGGUCCCCCACAUUGGAACUGAGACACGGUCCAAACUCCUACGGGAGGCAGCAGUGAGGAAUAUUGGUCAAUGGGCGAGAGCCUGAACCAGCCAAGUAGCGUGAAGGAUGACUGCCCUAUGGGUUGUAAACUUCUUUUAUAAAGGAAUAGAGUCGGGUAUGCAUACCCGUUUGCAUGUACUUUAUGAAUAAGGAUCGGCUAACUCCGUGCCAGCAGCCGCGGUAAUACGGAGGAUCCGAGCGUUAUCCGGAUUUAUUGGGUUUAAAGGGAGCGUAGAUGGAUGUUUAAGUCAGUUGUGAAAGUUUGCGGCUCAACCGUAAAAUUGCAGUUGAUACUGGAUAUCUUGAGUGCAGUUGAGGCAGGCGGAAUUCGUGGUGUAGCGGUGAAAUGCUUAGAUAUCACGAAGAACUCCGAUUGCGAAGGCAGCCUGCUAAGCUGCAACUGACAUUGAGGCUCGAAAGUGUGGGUAUCAAACAGGAUUAGAUACCCUGGUAGUCCACACGGUAAACGAUGAAUACUCGCUGUUUGCGAUAUACGGCAAGCGGCCAAGCGAAAGCGUUAAGUAUUCCACCUGGGGAGUACGCCGGCAACGG